rnacentral:rRNA from 1 species
UACGUAGGGGGCGAGCGUUGUCCGGAAUUAUUGGGCGUAAAGAGCUCGUAGGCGGCUUGUCACGUCUGCUGUGAAAACUCGGGGCUCAACCCCGAGCCUGCAGUGGAUACGGGCUAGCUAGAGUGCGGUAGGGGAGACUGGAAUUCCUGGUGUAGCGGUGAAAUGCGCAGAUAUCAGGAGGAACACCGGUGGCGAAGGCGGGUCUCUGGACCGAUACUGACGCUGAGGAGCGAAAGCGUGGGGAGCGAACAGG